AAAAGUGCUCUUUGAGAAAAGCUAGAACAAGAAUGAAAACUUAUUGAAAAGAAAACUCAGAGCGACAAUGGUAAGAGCAUCGUCUCCUGUCCUCGAUACCGUUCGUGCCUCAACACCCUCCUCACCGUGACUUCUGACCCAUCACCACGGCGGCGCGUCUCACUUUUCCCAUUUCGAUGCAAAAACUCGUGUCAUCGUGCCCUUGGAUCCCGGCGUAGCAUCACGUUCUGGAAGCCAGUGUCGCGCUCUGGAGGCGUUCAACAAUUGUGCUUUGGAUUGCAUCGAAUCUUCGGACUCUCCGCUUGCGUCUCAAGCUUCAACAACUUCAUCCCAACAAUGCCGCGUUCGCUUCGAUAUCCCUCGCAGAUUGAUUCAAAUCUUGUGGAGCAUCGCGCUUGUGCAUCAAGAAUUCGAUUUGAAUAAUUCGAUCCUCAUGAUUUCGACAAUGAAAACUAAACGCAGAUUGAAGCUAAACUUACCGGUUUCGACGCUGCGGCGAAAAUAGAAAUUUGCAUAAUGAAGCAAAGUGUAGGUGAAGUUGUAGAAUGAAGAUUGAAGAUGAGUGAAACUUGAAGUGAAUCCUGAAGUGAAGCUUGAUGCGAAGUAUUAGCAGAAUGCUUGAAGAGAAGAAAAUUGCAGCAGUAUGAAGUGAAUAAAAAGUCUAGCCUCCUUAGAAUGAGGCAGAUGAAAUAUUAUAUAUAGAGUGUGAGGGUGUAACCGACUCGGGCAGGCUUUGGGCAAUUCUGUUAAAGGUUUUAGGUCAGCUUGGGAAUCACAGGUGUCGCUUAGAUUGUGGUGUGAAUAUGUAUGGCUGUAGUUAAUGGAGAGUUAUUGAGGGCCUAAAAUGAUGCAUUGUCGGGUACUGCGCGUUCAGGUCGAACCCCUCUGCGAAUCUUUAGUUCAAGCCAAGAACCAUUCAACCGAAGAUCAUCCAGGAAAUGCUCAGGCGCAACAUGCUCCUUCAAACUGAUUCGUAUAAACCCGGUAACGCCAAAGGAGCGAGAGAAGAUCAAUGUAACAUUUACAUUCAUGCAUACUCGAUCAAGCUCUACCAUCGGACUCUCCAACAGCUGUGCGCGAUGACUUCUCUAAAAGCCAAAAUAAAGGUUACUGAUAACCACACUGCUACAACAGGAUGAAGCAUUUUAUCAAGGCAACUUGGAAGUGCCUCCAUGGCACAAGCAAGGUUGCUCAAAUGAAAAAGAGUAUGACUUGGAUUUGAAUGAAAUGAAGUAUGGAGUAGAUGGCCAUGAAGAUUAUGGAUGAAUUAGACUUGGGAUCUUUUGUAUAAGCAUGUAAACAUGGUUUGAAAUGGAAUUGGAGUUGUAUGGAAUAUGAAUGUUGUAAUGUAUUUGUAUGGUAAUGUAUGGUAAUGAUUGUAAUUUGAAAUGGUAAUGAUUGUAAUUUGAAAUGGUAAUUGUAUGUACAUAUCUAUGUUGUAGAAAAUGGUUUUGAAUGGUUUGAUUUUGUAAAUGGUUUACAAUUUGAA